CCAGCCCAGCUUCCAGCUCCACAUGUCCCACAGAAACCAGGUGCUGCUGGAGUGUACGUGUGUCCUUAUCAAACAAGCAGCCUUUGAUAGUUUCUCUUUCUUCCGGGCUUAACCUGCCUAAGUCUUUUUGGGGUGAGAUACGAUAUGCGACUUGACAGCAAUUCGAGGUGAGAUUUUUUCCUCCCGGGAAAGCAUGGCAAGAAAUUAAGCUUUGCAGGUUUUCUGCCCAGUCGACCAAGCAAAGAAAAGUCCUUGGUGAACUUGGGUUGGGUCUGGGGACAGGAGAGCUACUGCUGUGAUUUGUGGUUAUUCUCUCCACAGCGCUGCCUCUGUAGUCACAAGUGAGAGGCAAGUGGUUUUGACACCUCUUUAUGACCUGGGAGCCACAGGGAAGUAGUGGUGACUUGUGUUCUGUAAAGACAAGGUCAUGGACAGGGGUGGUGCAAGCAGCUUUGGGUCAUCUGACCAUGCUAGAAUCCAGAUAUUUUCAAUUCAUGGGAAUUAAAACGUUUUUGUGGAAAAAAAUUGCAGCAGUCUCUAAGAAGGAGCACGUGACCACAAUUAAAGGAUGUGUUGUGCUGUAUCAGAAGAAAAGUAAAAAACAUACAGAUAUGUCUUGGGCGAGAAAGCAGAAACCUUUGAAAAAUUUUGGCAAAUCAAGACACAUGAAGAACGUGUUGAGUGAAACAUUUCAGAGCGACAAAAAUCAAAACAUCUCACUGCGCCUUCAACCGCUUUAAAACAUUUUAAUGGUUCGAAAGGAAAUUUCAAAAUGAAAAGUCGUGUUUUGCUUAAAACACUAGAAAGUGUUUCAUUAAAAAGGAAGAGU